rnacentral:rRNA from 1 species
UUAAGGGCGCACGGUGGAUGCCUUGGCACUAGAAGCCGAUGAAGGACGUUACUAACGACGAUAUGCUUUGGGGAGCUGUAAGUAAGCUUUGAUCCAGAGAUUUCCGAAUGGGGAAACCCAGCAUGAGUUAUGUCAUGUUAUCGAUAUGUGAAUACAUAGCAUAUCAGAAGGCACACCCGGAGAACUGAAACAUCUUAGUACCCGGAGGAAGAGAAAGAAAAUUCGAUUCCCUUAGUAGCGGCGAGCGAAACGGGAAGAGCCCAAACCAACAAGCUUGCUUGUUGGGGUUGUAGGACACUCUAUACGGAGUUACAAAGGACGACAUUAGACGAAUCAUCUGGAAAGAUGAAUCAAAGAAGGUAAUAAUCCUGUAGUCGAAAAUGUUGUCUCUCUUGAGUGGAUCCUGAGUACGACGGAGCACGUGAAAUUCCGUCGGAAUCUGGGAGGACCAUCUCCUAAGGCUAAAUACUCUCUAGUGACCGAUAGUGAACCAGUACCGUGAGGGAAAGGUGAAAAGCACCCCGGAAGGGGAGUGAAAUAGAACCUGAAACCGUGUGCUUACAAGUAGUCAGAGCCCGUUAAUGGGUGAUGGCGUGCCUUUUGUAGAAUGAACCGGCGAGUUACGAUUUGAUGCAAGGUUAAGCAGUAAAUGUGGAGCCGUAGCGAAAGCGAGUCUGAAUAGGGCGUUUAGUAUUUGGUCGUAGACCCGAAACCAGGUGAUCUACCCUUGGUCAGGUUGAAGUUCAGGUAACACUGAAUGGAGGACCGAACCGACUUACGUUGAAAAGUGAGCGGAUGAACUGAGGGUAGCGGAGAAAUUCCAAUCGAACCUGGAGAUAGCUGGUUCUCUCCGAAAUAGCUUUAGGGCUAGCCUCAAGUGAUGAUUAUUGGAGGUAGAGCACUGUUUGGACGAGGGGCCCCUCUCGGGUUACCGAAUUCAGACAAACUCCGAAUGCCAAUUAAUUUAACUUGGGAGUCAGAACAUGGGUGAUAAGGUCCGUGUUCGAAAGGGAAACAGCCCAGACCACCAGCUAAGGUCCCAAAAUAUAUGUUAAGUGGAAAAGGAUGUGGCGUUGCCCAGACAACUAGGAUGUUGGCUUAGAAGCAGCCAUCAUUUAAAGAGUGCGUAAUAGCUCACUAGUCGAGUGACACUGCGCCGAAAAUGUACCGGGGCUAAACAUAUUACCGAAGCUGUGGAUUGUCCUUUGGACAAUGGUAGGAGAGCGUUCUAAGGGCGUUGAAGCAUGAUCGUAAGGACAUGUGGAGCGCUUAGAAGUGAGAAUGCCGGUGUGAGUAGCGAAAGACGGGUGAGAAUCCCGUCCACCGAUUGACUAAGGUUUCCAGAGGAAGGCUCGUCCGCUCUGGGUUAGUCGGGUCCUAAGCUGAGGCCGACAGGCGUAGGCGAUGGAUAACAGGUUGAUAUUCCUGUACCACCUAUAAUCGUUUUAAUCGAUGGGGGGACGCAGUAGGAUAGGCGAAGCGUGCGAUUGGAUUGCACGUCUAAGCAGUAAGGCUGAGUAUUAGGCAAAUCCGGUACUCGUUAAGGCUGAGCUGUGAUGGGGAGAAGACAUUGUGUCUUCGAGUCGUUGAUUUCACACUGCCGAGAAAAGCCUCUAGAUAGAAAAUAGGUGCCCGUACCGCAAACCGACACAGGUAGUCAAGAUGAGAAUUCUAAGGUGAGCGAGCGAACUCUCGUUAAGGAACUCGGCAAAAUGACCCCGUAACUUCGGGAGAAGGGGUGCUCUUUAGGGUUAACGCCCAGAAGAGCCGCAGUGAAUAGGCCCAAGCGACUGUUUAUCAAAAACACAGGUCUCUGCUAAACCGUAAGGUGAUGUAUAGGGGCUGACGCCUGCCCGGUGCUGGAAGGUUAAGAGGAGUGGUUAGCUUCUGCGAAGCUACGAAUCGAAGCCCCAGUAAACGGCGGCCGUAACUAUAACGGUCCUAAGGUAGCGAAAUUCCUUGUCGGGUAAGUUCCGACCCGCACGAAAGGCGUAACGAUUUGGGCACUGUCUCAACGAGAGACUCGGUGAAAUCAUAGUACCUGUGAAGAUGCAGGUUACCCGCGACAGGACGGAAAGACCCCGUGGAGCUUUACUGUAGCCUGAUAUUGAAAUUCGGCACAGCUUGUACAGGAUAGGUAGGAGCCUUUGAAACGUGAGCGCUAGCUUACGUGGAGGCGCUGGUGGGAUACUACCCUAGCUGUGUUGGCUUUCUAACCCGCACCACUUAUCGUGGUGGGAGACAGUGUCAGGCGGGCAGUUUGACUGGGGCGGUCGCCUCCUAAAAGGUAACGGAGGCGCUCAAAGGUUCCCUCAGAAUGGUUGGAAAUCAUUCAUAGAGUGUAAAGGCAUAAGGGAGCUUGACUGCGAGACCUACAAGUCGAGCAGGGUCGAAAGACGGACUUAGUGAUCCGGUGGUUCCGCAUGGAAGGGCCAUCGCUCAACGGAUAAAAGCUACCCCGGGGAUAACAGGCUUAUCUCCCCCAAGAGUUCACAUCGACGGGGAGGUUUGGCACCUCGAUGUCGGCUCAUCGCAUCCUGGGGCUGUAGUCGGUCCCAAGGGUUGGGCUGUUCGCCCAUUAAAGCGGUACGCGAGCUGGGUUCAGAACGUCGUGAGACAGUUCGGUCCCUAUCCGUCGUGGGCGUAGGAAAUUUGAGAGGAGCUGUCCUUAGUACGAGAGGACCGGGAUGGACAUACCUCUGGUGUACCAGUUGUCGUGCCAACGGCAUAGCUGGGUAGCUAUGUGUGGACGGGAUAAGUGCUGAAAGCAUCUAAGCAUGAAGCCCCCCUCAAGAUGAGAUUUCCCAACUUCGGUUAUAAGAUCCCUCAAAGAUGAUGAGGUUAAUAGGUUCGAGGUGGAAGCAUGGCGACAUGUGGAGCUGACGAAUACUAAUCGAUCGAAGACUUAAUC